AAAACGAGUAAAAUUGCUAGUAGUAGCUCAUUGUGCUUCUGGUGCAGUAAAACAGAUCAAGAAAACGGAGAGCAAUGGCGGAAGUGCAGAGAAGGGGAAGACCGUUACCUCCACCUCCGGCGAGAGUCCCACCGGGUCCUCCUCCCCUCAGAAUGGGCCCUCGGGUCCAACCCGUUGACCCGUGAAAAGACUUGUCCACUCUUGCUUCGCGUUUUCACCAAGAUUGGAGGCCAUCAUAGUGAUAAUGAUUUUGCCGUGAGAGGCAAGGAACCUAAAGAUGAGGUCCAGAUCUAUACAUGGAUGGAUGCUGCUCUGCGUGAAUUAACUGAUCUGGUUAAAGAGGUUGCUCCAGAAGCAAGACGAAGAGAUGCAAGUUUGUCAUUUGCUUUUGUGUAUCCUGAUAAACGAGGGCGGUUUGUGGUUAGAGAGGUGGGUAGAACGUACUCUUAUCCAAAUGGGAGACGACCCGAUAGUGGCAGCAAAAGCUUGAGUGAACUAAAAUUUCAGAUUGGAGAUUACUUGGAUGUGGCUAUCACGUUCCAGUGACCUGUAAGACUACCCGCAGUAAAAAUAGAACCAUCUAGCCUUGUAGUAUACUUGGUGUUCCUUUUCUUAAACUUCCCUGUCCUUGAUAUGCAUAGCCCCGCUUAUGCAUUAGUUCUUAUAUGCUUGGGCAAUGCUACCUUUUUCUGUAAAAUUAACAUCAAAUCCAGAGUGUCGAUGCAUUCCAGACCUAUAUCUUGUAUUCGUUUAUAUCUGCAAGAUGGUUAAAGUAACAAGUAUCUAAGGAUUUGUUCUAAUGAUCAAUCAAAUGGGUGAUACCCCAUUGAAGACCA